AUGGAGACGGCGAUGGCCAUGGUUGAAGAAGAUGCACCCCCCACAUGGUACCAUCAAGUUGAAACCUCACCUACAACACAUGAGCGAUGCUCCAAAGGUAACAUAGGUGAUGGUACUUCUCGUGUCCCACUAGCGAACUAUCUUACCAAUCAUUGCUUGCAUGAUGUUGACCCACCUAUUCCUAUGCUUCAUGCUAGUGCGACUUCCUCAUGUCAUGACUUACCAAUUUAUGAUGAAUAUGAUGAUGAGGAUGUUGAGUUGCCUAGUUGUGAUGCUAUGCUCCAUAGGAUAUCAUGUGAAAAUUCUUUUGGUCACAUCAUGUUCGACAACCCAUUAAACUUGUCAUAUGCUAUGAGUGAGAUCUCUCAUAUUGUUUCAUCGCAAUCUCAACAUAGUAACUAUGCAUGCCCCAUUAAAAUAAAUCCUAUUUGCACUUAUGGCAUAGAUGACAAGGUCAUGGUUAUUGGAAUGUGCUUCUCUUGUGAUGAUAUUGCCAUGCUCUCUUUAUGUUUGCGCAAUUCAUCUAUUAUGCCAUGCCAUGAUCACAUAGAACCAAAUAUGCUUUGUUUUGGAUGUUGUCAAUAUUCUCCAUGUGAUGUUUCUAUAAAUGCUUGGAGGAUACCCCCAUAG
rnacentral:rRNA from 1 species